UACGUAGGGUGCGAGCGUUAAUCGGAAUUACUGGGCGUAAAGCGUGCGCAGGCGGUUCGUUAAGUCAGCUGUGAAAGCCCCGAGCUUAACUUGGGAAUUGCGGUUGAAACUGGCGGACUAGAAUCUGGCAGAGGGGGGUGGAAUUCCACGUGUAGCAGUGAAAUGCGUAGAUAUCGGGAGGAACACCUGUGGCGAAAGCGGCGCACUGGACCACAACUGACGCUGAGGCGCGAAAGCUAGGGGAGCAAACAGG
rnacentral:rRNA from 1 species